AGUGAACGCUGGCGGUAGGCCUAACACAUGCAAGUCGAACGGCAGCACAGUAAGAGCUUGCUCUUACGGGUGGCGAGUGGCGGACGGGUGAGGAAUACAUCGGAAUCUACUUUUUCGUGGGGGAUAACGUAGGGAAACUUACGCUAAUACCGCAUACGUCCUACGGGUGAAAGCAGGGGAUCUUCGGACCUUGCGCGAUUGAAUGAGCCGAUGUCGGAUUAGCUAGUUGGCGGGGUAAAGGCCCACCAAGGCGACGAUCCGUAGCUGGUCUGAGAGGAUGAUCAGCCACACUGGAACUGAGACACGGUCCAGACUCCUACGGGGGGCAGCAGUGGGGAAUAUUGGACAAUGGGCGCAAGCCUGAUCCAGCCAUACCGCGUGGGUGAAGAAGGCCUUCGGGUUGUAAAGCCCUUUUGUUGGGAAAGAAAAGCAGCAGGUUAAUACCCCGCUGUUCUGACGGUACCCAAAGAAUAAGCACCGGCUAACUUCGUG
rnacentral:rRNA from 1 species